CGAAGAAGUUAAAAUAAUAAUCGUCAAAUUAUUCAGUUGUCUUGAGGACGAAGUUUAGACUGCAAUGAGUGGCCAAGUGCGAGGGAUUUAGCAAUCAUGUUUUAUUUCUCUGAAUAAAUCAAACGCCAGCAAUCCAUUCUUUUAUUAGUAUCUGCGUCGUUUCAAUCUGCGUUGUAAGAGUUGAAAAUGGUUCGGGAAGUUCUCGUGUGAUGGAAUUACAAUGUGCUUCAAGGUCAGGACGGAUUUAAAAUAGAAUGAAUUUUCGCGACUAUUUAAAAUUCAUGGAGACGGUUUUCGGGGUUGGAAAAUUUACGGAAGAGAAGCAAAAGUUACGCUCAAAAUCACUGUUGCCAUUGUCAUAUUGAAUACUCCAUCAAAUUGCAUAUAUACUAUUUUACGUAUUUAGUAUCAUAUAUUUUUUAUAAUUAAAGGAAGCGCAUUCUAUGUUUAUUUUAAACGAUCAUCAUUAUUUAAGCAAACGUUUGACCAGCACACGUGGAGAAAACUAGUACACCACGUAGCACAGGCAUUGCCAGCGAAUUAUCACGUGCGAAAAUAACUUUGACCUGUUUUGAGUAAACAGAGAAUUCUUACUAAUUUUGUGGGUUGCAGCAUGGGCUCAUCACUAUACUUUACUAGACAUGUUAUACUUCUGCCUUAUUGGUUAAUUUUACUAUACGGAAGUCACGAGAGACUUACGCAUCCUCACGUCAUAAAAUUUACUCUAGUUAUUUGUCGUAUAAUACAAUUUUCUAAAUUGCUAAAUGGUACCGGUGGACUGUGAUUUUGGCAGCAUCAACGUUGAACUAUUUUACACAUGUAAAAGUAGGAUGAACUCAGAUGACUAAUGACUUCGGAACUCAAUUAGUACAGAAUUAGUGUGAACCUGAAGGUUCUACUUGUUACUCAGACGAUACCUGUUUUAAAUUAUACAGAAGUUUACCCUGCAACAAGUUUUUAUCAACUGUUUCCCUUUUGCAGAUUAUGCAGCUACCCACUCCUUAGUGAAUGUAUCUCUGAACUUUAAUGGAGCUCAAAUGACGAAUUAUUUUGAAGCUUUUACCAUGCUACGUGGGAGUCAUUGAAAAGUAGAUCCGAGGAAAGACAAAACAAUGAGAUACAACGUGUGGUAAAUACAACGAACUUUUUGGGUCUUGGAUGUCGCCUUGUUGGAUGACAUGAGGCAUUAGGCAUGCGUUGACGGAAGGGACAAUAAAAGUAGAAGGAAUACAAAGAAACUAUGAAAAAGACUAAUGAAGAGUAUGUUCACAAUGAAUAAAUAAGACAGCACGAUGUGCCUCGCCAAAGUUGGAACAAUGGUGACGAAGUGGGAAGAGAAAGAGAAUGAGAAGAGAAGACAUUGUAGACAUUCUUCGUAGGACACCGUUCGGCUAGUUAUACUUUUUGUCGUUCACAUUAGUUAACACAAGUAGUUUUCUCAUUGGGUCCAUAAUGAGGAACAUGGAAAGAGAACAAAAAGUGGAAGAAAUGAAUCUGUAAGAAAUAGGCAGAGAGAGAGAAAGAGAGAGGGCAAAUGAAAGAGAGGAAAGAAGAUGGUGGUCAGUGCACGCGGGACUACGGUAAACGGUAGUGAGUGUAGAACUUGGGGCCACGAGGCCGUCUUCUAUAAAUAAUUUCAUACAUUAUAUGUAUACCAACCGGGCAAACUAACGUCAGCCUUCGACAGUUUUACCUAAAUAUUUUACGAUCAUCCACGUAUUUUUAGGCCAAGAAAUUUCGGAAAGAAUCACCAGAAAGUAAUCGCCGCCUUUUAUGAAAAUAAUACGCUUCAGGGACUUCUAAUUGCUACUGUUGUAAUUGUUCAAGUUUAAUUUCUGCUGAUCAACUAAUGUUUAUUUAAUUAAUUUUAGUUCAGAUCUCUGAAUCAGCUACCUAAUAAUAUUAUAUUAUUACCGAUAGAAAGACUAUCUAAAGACUUUUGAUUUAAAUAAGAUCAAUGUCGUUUGUAAAUCUAUCUUUGAUCCGAAGGAUUUUCUUUAUUCUUACUGCCAACUCGGUUGUUAUCUGAAUCAAUGAGUAACACCAGUCUUGCUAUACAUAUGUAUGCAUAUCAGUGCAGAGAGAAAUUAUAAUUUAUACAAUAGGUCGAGCGUGAUAAAAACUACUGUAUCCUGUAUCUUGAUAUACAUAUUCAUAUUUAGAAAUUCGUAGCAUAGGACAUUAUCCAGAGAACAAUAUAUACAGAAGUAUUCAUUCUUUUACCGGUAGGCACAUUGAGAGAAAUGAAAAGUGGAUUAAACAAAUUAAUAUUAUACAAGGUGUUCGUUAUGAAACG